UGUAAACUUGUACUCUAAUUGAUGUUGUCCUUAAAUGUUUGUUUAUUAAUCUACUUUUAGUUUUUGGGUAAAAUUAGAGAUUUUGUUAAUUAUUGUUUGAGGACAAAAAAUUUAGUGAGCGAGCCAGAUUAGUACCUGGUUAGAUAAAAGUUAAAAGAGCAGGAGUAAGGUUGUAUUUAAACUGUAAGAAUAUUGGCAGGUUUUUAAAUUAUCUUUGGAGGUUGAAUAGUAAUUGAGAGCCCUCAUUAUCUACUUUUAUUUUAGGCGCAUGUAUGAUCGUUUAUUUUAUUCUUGAGGAUUGUAAUUUUAGUUUAUAGCUGUAAAAAUAGAUAUAUACUUGGUCUAUAUUAAAGUUUAUUUUGACCUACAAUAUUAUAUGUUAUGGAUAAUAUUUGUAGUAAAUAUUUGAAAUUGUAAAAGACAGUAAAAUCUUUUUAAUGUGGAUUUGAAGUUUAUUUAAAAACGGUACAAAUCAUCCAUCAAUUGCCCAUAGG
rnacentral:ncRNA from 1 species